AGAUUUACUUCGGUAAUGACGUUAGGAAAGCGAGCGGCGGAUGGGUGAGUAACACGUGGGGAACCUGCCCCAUAGUCUGGGAUACCACUUGGAAACAGGUGCUAAUACCGGAUAAGAAAGCAGAUCGCAUGAUCAGCUUUUAAAAGGCGGCGUAAGCUGUCGCUAUGGGAUGGCCCCGCGGUGCAUUAGCUAGUUGGUAAGGUAAAGGCUUACCAAGGCGAUGAUGCAUAGCCGAGUUGAGAGACUGAUCGGCCACAUUGGGACUGAGACACGGCCCAAACUCCUACGGGAGGCAGCAGUAGGGAAUCUUCCACAAUGGACGCAAGUCUGAUGGAGCAACGCCGCGUGAGUGAAGAAGGUUUUCGGAUCGUAAAGCUCUGUUGUUGGUGAAGAAGGAUAGAGGUAGUAACUGGCCUUUAUUUGACGGUAAUCAACCAGAAAGUCACGGCUAACUACGUGCCAGCAGCCGCGGUAAUACGUAGGUGGCAAGCGUUGUCCGGAUUUAUUGGGCGUAAAGCGAGCGCAGGCGGAAGAAUAAGUCUGAUGUGAAAGCCCUCGGCUUAACCGNGGAACU
rnacentral:rRNA from 1 species